UACAGAGGUCUCAAGCGUUGUUCGGAUUCAUUGGGCGUAAAGGGUGCGUAGGUGGCGCCGUAAGUCAGGUGUGAAAUUUCGGAGCUUAACUCCGAAACUGCAUUUGAUACUGCGGUGCUUGAGGACUGGAGAGGAGACUGGAAUUCACGGUGUAGCAGUGAAAUGCGUAGAUAUCAGGAGGAACACCGAUGGCGAAGGCAGGUCUCUGGGCAUUAACUGACGCUGAGGAGCGAAAGCAUGGGGAGCGAACAGG
rnacentral:rRNA from 1 species